GCUGGCGUAGCUCAGCUGGUAGAGCAGCUGAUUUGUAAUCAGCAGGUCCGGGGUUCGAGUCCCCGCGCCAGCU
rnacentral:tRNA from 1 species